rnacentral:rRNA from 1 species
UACGUAGGGGGCUAGCGUUGUCCGGAAUCAUUGGGCGUAAAGAGCGUGUAGGCGGUCCGGUAAGUCCGCUGUGAAAGUCGGGGGCUCAACCCUCGAAUGCCGGUGGAUACUGUCGGGCUAGAGUGCGGAAGAGGCGAGUGGAAUUCCUGGUGUAGCGGUGGAAUGCGCAGAUAUCAGGAGGAACACCGAUGGCGAAGGCAGCUCGCUGGGACGGUACUGACGCUGAGACGCGAAAGCGUGGGGAGCGAACAGG